rnacentral:lncRNA from 1 species
ACAGUGAGAUCGCUACCCCCUGGUGGAGGGUCUCAUGGAAGGCUACAAUGGCACCAUCUUUGCCUGUGGCAGUGGGGAAUCCUUCACCAUGCAGGGAGCUGCAGAUUCUGCCUCACAGAAAGGGAUCAUCCCCAGGGUGUUUGAACACAUCUUUGAGAGUGUGCAGCGUGCUGGGAACACCAAACUCUGCUGAGAGCUC